GAUGAACGCUAGCGGCAGGCCUAACACAUGCAAGUCGAGGGAGGAGCUUUCGGGCUUCGACCGGCGUACGGGUGCGUAACGCGUAUACAAUCUGCCUUUCACAUAGGGAUAGCCCGAAGAAAUUUGGAUUAAUACCUAAUGGUAUAUAGGAGUGGCAUCACCUUUAUAUUAAAGCUGAGGCGGUGAAAGAUGAGUAUGCGUUCUAUUAGCUAGUUGGAGAGGUAACGGCUCCCCAAGGCGACGAUAGAUAGGGGUUCUGAGAGGGAUAUCCCCCACAAUGGAACUGAGAUACGGACCAGACUCCUACGGGAGGGAGCAGAGAGGAAUAUUGAAGAAUGGUCGGAAGACUGAUCCAGCCAUGCCGCGUGCAGGAAGACGGCCUUAUGGGUUGUAAACUGCUUUUGCAGGGGAAGAAUAAGGAGUACGUGUACUUUGAUGACGGUACUCUGCGAAUAAGCAUCGGCUAACUCCGUG
rnacentral:rRNA from 1 species